UGGGAGGAGCGCCGGCGGGUUCCCCUUCGAGCCUUUAAGGAGGCGUUUGGCUGCCGGGGUGGGGGGGAGGCCGUUGCCGCCGUCUCCCCCCCCCCACACUCCUCACAGAUGGAGCGGCGCUUCUUGGCCCCUCGGCUUGCCCUGCUCUCCGGCUAAUCCAGCUGUUGACGCUCGUUCUCUCCACCGCCUCAGAGCGUGUCCGCCCAAGGUUAUUAUUAGUACGGCGUUCAAAGGGGAGCGAGGUGCCGAAGGCCGAGGGACGUCGCGGGAGGUCUGGACUCGAAUUCUCACUGUCCUGCGACGGCUCUCCAAAGCUCAUGUAGAUGAAUCCUUCGCUGUAGCUGCAUCCUGCUGUAGUCACACUUUCUUCCAAGACCUUCAGAAAAUGUCGCUGUGUUGUUAGUGAAGGUGUUAUGGUGACCAGCCCAUGAUGCAUCCAUUUUUCAUAGAAAAGUCAAGGUGUCGCACCAGCUGCUUAUCCCUCUGGAACGUCACACCAGCACGCUUGCAAGCAGUGAAGGAGUUUACUCUGGGAACCUGCCUGUACCCUCCCUCAGCUUCACAGCCACCCUCUGCUGCUCCUCCGGGAGCCAUGUGUGUUGCCAGCUAGACUCUUUAACUGCUGAAGUGAGACUGGGAGAUGUCCACUCCUCCUUCUCCCCCACAACUUCCCCUCAGCCUGAAGGCUCUUGGGGCAACUCACAAUGUAGACCAAAAUCCACGGCUGAAACAAUCUGAAGCAACUCAUAACAAUAGAAACUGACUUAAGAGCUGCCCUAAACCAUGUAAUAAUCAUAUCAACGAAACAGCCAAAGUAGAAUAGCAGAUACCAAUUCAACUAGGUAACAUGAAUAAAUAACCAACCCAGUAUAGCAGUAAAACUACAA